UGAUAAGUGUUUUAUGGCACUUUUUAAAUCCAUAUCCACCUUGUGUGCAAUGUCAGUCGAUCUUCUUCAUGGAGAUCGACCAAACAUCAACCUUUAUCUUUUAACUCUUUGUCUGAAAAAUAUUAUGAAUAAACAAUUCAAAAUA
rnacentral:misc_RNA from 1 species